rnacentral:rRNA from 1 species
GACGAACGCUGGCGGCGUGCUUAACACAUGCAAGUCGAACGGAAAGGCCCUGCUUUUGUGGGGUGCUCGAGUGGCGAACGGGUGAGUAACACGUGGGUAACCUGCCCUUGACUUUGGGAUAACUUCAGGAAACUGGGGCUAAUACCGGAUAGGAGCUCCUGCUGCAUGGUGGGGGUUGGAAAGUUUCGGCGGUUGGGGAUGGACUCGCGGCUUAUCAGCUUGUUGGUGGGGUAGUGGCUUACCAAGGCUUUGACGGGUAGCCGGCCUGAGAGGGUGACCGGCCACAUUGGGACUGAGAUACGGCCCAGACUCCUACGGGAGGCAGCAGUGGGGAAUAUUGCUCAAUGGGCGGAAGCCUGAUGCAGCAACGCCGCGUGCGGGAUGACGGCCUUCGGGUUGUAAACCGCUUUCGCCUGUGACGAAGCGUGAGUGACGGUAAUGGGUAAAGAAGCACCGGCUAACUACGUG